UUUCAGCCUUAAGGCGAGACAAGAACCAGGGAAAUAUGCUUCGAGCGCGUCAGACAAACAAACCUUGAUUUCACUUGUGAUUUGGUUUUCAGGCUUCCCAAUUAAAAAAUCUAAAAUUGGGAUGUUUUUUUUCCUCUAUUAAUAUGGAUGGAAGGACUAAUUUCAAUUCGAUUUCACUUAGUUUUUCUCCAGCGUCUACUGGCUGAGGAUUUCCCAAUAGGACUUGUGAUGAUGGAGCCGCAGCAUUUUGUUGGGGGAUGUCCUGUGUUACAACAAACCGACGUGGAGACAUGGCUGCCGUCCAACGCAAGAGGUUUUCUUGGAGGUGGUUUGCGUUUCAAGGCCAAGCUGAUUGGUGUGGAAACGGUACCCAACGCCAGUGGCGAGAAGAUGUGCAAGGACGCCAUGAUCAGACUAAAGCGAAUGGCGAAAGCUGCAAGGAAACGGGGCAAGCACAAGCAGAGCGUUUGGCUCAAAGUCUCAUCCAGAGGCUUGCAGAUUCUGGACGAGCAAACUGGGGCUCUUCAACACGAGCACGAGAGAAGUAGGAUCAGUUCCUUCGUCAAUGACAAGCAGGACGUAACAGCUUUGGCCUACAUCUACCAACAAGCAGACACCUACAGCCUCAUCUAUGUCAAGAUGGCCCAUCUGGCAAAGCCUGUCCUGGACACUAUUAAAGAGAUGUUUGAGAAAGUGGAUCAAGACUUUCCACAGUGUUCCGCAGAAACAUUGGCACGGAUGAUGUGGUUCUGUUGGCUUCAUCAAGCCGUGAUCUCCAACUCUCACUGGAGCAGUUCGCAGCCGAGUGUGAAGUGGCCGGGAUGAGAAUCAGCACCUCCAAAUCUGAGACCAUGGUCAGUUUGGACUCUCCAGGUCGGGGAUGAAGUGGAGGAGUUUCAGAUAUCUUGGGGUCUUGUUCACGAGUGAGGGAAGAAUGGAACGGUGCAGCGUCUGCAGUGAUGCUGACUUUGUAUUGGUCCGUUGUGGUGAAGAAGGAGCUAAGCCGAAAGGCGAAGCUCUCAAUUUACCGGUCGAUUUACGUUUUUACCCUCACCUAUGGUCACGAGCUGUGGGGCGUGACCGAAAAAACGAGAUCCCGGAUACAAGCGACCGAAAGGAGUAUCUCUCCCUUAGAGAUAGGGUGAGAAGCUCGGUCAUCCGGGAGGAUCUCAGAGUAGAGCUGCUGCUCCUCCACAUCGAGAGGAGCCAAAUGAGGUGGCUCGGGCAUCUGUUUAGGAUGCCUCCCGGACGCCUCCCUGAUGAGGUGUUCCAGGCACAUCCCACCGGGAGGAGAUCCCAGGGACGACCCAGGACACGCUGGAGAGACGACGUCGCUCGGCUUGCCUGGGAACGCCUCGGGAUCCCCUCGGAAGAGCUGGAGGAAGUGGCUGUGGAGAGGGAAGUCUGGGCUUCCCUGCUGAACCUACUGCCCCCGCGACCUGACCUCGGAUAAGUGGAAGACAAUGUAUGGACGGAUGGAUGUCUUUAUUUUGGCUUGCUUCACUUAAAGAAUAUGAUGAGAUAGGUUUUAGCUUCAAUUAAUAAAUAAAACAAACACCCUCAUUCUGUUUCUUCAGGGUUCUGAGACGAUGAAACGCUCCAUCCAUUUGUCUGAACCAUUCCUGCCCACCUCACCUCUUCCAGAACCUCAGCAGCAAAUAUUGUCCAACUCUCAGCUCCUCCCCAUCUUCCCCACACAGCCGAUAGAGGGCGCUCGAUACACCAC